rnacentral:tRNA from 1 species
GGGGCAUUAGUUCAGCUGAUGGAACGCAUCAUUCGCAUUGAUGAGGUCGGGGGUUUGAAUCCCCCAUGCUCCACCA